GCCAGGUGCAGUCGUGCAUGCCUUGUAGUCCCAGCUACUCGGAAGGUUGAGGUGGGAGGAUGGCUUGAGCCCAGGAGUUCUGGGCUGUAGUGCGCUAUGCUGAUCGGGUGACCACACUAAAUUCAGCAUCAAUAUGGUGACCUCCCGGGAGCGGGGGACCACCAGGUUGCAUAAGGAGGGGUGAACUGGCCCAGGUCGGAAACGGAGCAGGUCAAAACUCCUGUGCUGAUGAGUAGUGGGAUCGAGCCUGUGAAUAGCCACUGCACUCCAGCCUGGGCAACUUAGCGAGACCCUGUCUCU
rnacentral:SRP_RNA from 1 species